rnacentral:rRNA from 1 species
AUUGAACGCUGGCGGCAUGCCUUACACAUGCAAGUCGAACGGCAGCACGGGAGCAAUCCUGGUGGCGAGUGGCGAACGGGUGAGUAAUAUAUCGGAACGUGCCCAGUCGUGGGGAUAACGUAGCGAAAGCUACGCUAAUACCGCAUACGAUCUAUGGAUGAAAGCGGGGGAUCGCAAGACCUCGCGCGAUUGGAGCGGCCGAUAUCAGAUUAGGUAGUUGGUGAGGUAAAGGCUCACCAAGCCGACGAUCUGCAGCUGGUCUGAGAGGACGACCAGCCACACUGGGACUGAGACACGGCCCAGACUCCUACGGGAGGCAGCAGUGGGGAAUUUUGGACAAUGGGCGCAAGCCUGAUCCAGCAAUGCCGCGUGCAGGAUGAA